AAAAACUGAGGUGGUAUACGAUGGUUCCGCGUCUGAUUAGCUAGUUGGUGGAGUAAAAGCCUACCAAGGCGACGAUCAGUAGCCGGCCUGAGAGGGUGAACGGCCACAUUGGGACUGAGGCACGGCCCAAACUCCUACGGGAGGCAGCAGUGGGGAAUAUUGCACAAUGGGGGAAACCCUGAUGCAGCGACGCCGCGUGAGUGAAGAAGUAUUUCGGUAUGUAAAGCUCUAUCAGCAGGGAAGAAAUACUGACCAUAGGGUCAGCAGACGGUACUUGACUAAGAAGCCCCGGCUAACUACGUGCCAGCAGCCGCGGUAAUACGUAGGGGGCAAGCGUUAUCCGGAUUUACUGGGUGUAAAGGGAGCGUAGACGGCAGCGCAAGUCUGAAGUGAAAUGCCAGGGCUUAACCCUGGAACUGCUUUGGAAACUGUGCAGCUAGAGUGCAGGAGAGGUAAGUGGAAUUUCUAGUGUAGCGGUGAAAUGCGUAGAUAUUAGGAGGAACACCAGUGGCGAAGGCGGCUUACUGGACUGUAACUGACGUUGAGGCUCGAAAGCGUGGGGAGCAAACAGGAUUAGAUACCCUGGUAGUCCACGCUGUAAACGAUGAUUACUAGGUGUUGGGGGACCAAGGUUCUUCG
rnacentral:rRNA from 1 species